rnacentral:misc_RNA from 1 species
GAUGAAGACGUAGCGAAAUGCGAUAAGUAAUGUGAAUUGCAGAAUUCAGUGAAUCAUCGAAUCUUUGAACGCACAUUGCGCCCCCUGGUAUUCCGGGGGGCAUGCCUGUCCGAGCGUCAUUACAACCCUCAAGCUCAGCUUGGUAUUGGGCCCCGCCGCUCCGGCGGGCCCUAAAGUCAGUGGCGGUGCCGUCCGGCUCCGAGCGUAGUAAUUCUUCUCGCUCUGGAGGUCCGGUCGUGUGCUCGCCAGCAACCCCCAAUUUUUUUCAGGUUGACCUCGGAUCAGGUAGGGAUACCCGCUGAACUUAAGCAUAUCAAUAAGCGGAGGA